GGGGCCGGGCUGUCUUAAAUAAAGUCAUUGUCUCAUGUGAUAACCUACUGUUCUUCCUCCAGUCUUCAGCGCUUUACCACCCGGAGGGCUUCUUCCUUCCGCGGCUGUGCUGGAUCAGGCUUUCCCCCAUUGUGCAAGAUUCCCCGCUGCUGCCUCCCGUAGGGGGAGAAAUUCUAGCGU
rnacentral:rRNA from 1 species